rnacentral:lncRNA from 1 species
CUCUCAUUCCUGCCUUGCCCUUGAUGCUGUCACUCACUGGUUGGAAAUGCUGCCAGCUCAGCAGUGCUCCCUUUCUCCCAACAAGUGGUGGCAUUUCCCCUGUUCUUUGCACAGCUGCUCAGCGAGUGCCAACCUGCAGCUCCCAGUCAGCCAGACCUGAUUCUGCUGCUCAGGAGCAGAGCCCUACCUGCUUCCCUUGGAGCAUGGAACACCCGCCCCAGCCUCUGUUCUCACCAACACAGACAUUAUUUUAGGAGGCUGUUAAAGGUAACAAAGUGCCAAAACCUACCCUGGACCUUCUCACUUUUGCAAGGUGGGAAAAAUAUUUAAAGUGAUUGAAAAGAAGAAUAAAAAUCCCAUUUCCUGUUAUGAAAAUGGAGGAGUUAAUAUGACUGGAAACUCUUUUUGUUAUGUUGCGAAUAUUCUAUUCACAAUAUUCAAUUUGAGUACAAGUUGCACUAUUUGAGGUUCUUUGAAUAAUUCAGGUGCAUUCAUUUACUCUUGAUUAGUGGAUCAGCUUCUUCAAAAGGUGCACAUGCCUAAGCACAGCUGGCUUUCCAACAGAGCAGAGAGGGAUGUGCCAGCACAGCAUCGAGAAGGGGGGAAAGAAAGAGAAGUGGAAACGCAGCAACUGCAAUCAGAUCCCGUUCCACACCACGGGAGCACAUUCUCCUCAUAGUGAAGCAAAACUUGGGGCAGAAAACAAAACAAUAUUUGCCAAUUUGGCUUUAGCGCAAAUCCAACUCUUUGUUCUUUUGCACACAUCAAAUGUGAGCCUCUCUCACCUCUGGCAGGAGCCUGGCACAGCACAAAACACACCCAGGUGCAUCCUGGCAGAAUAGGAACCUUCAUGCAAAUACUGGCUUUGGACUUGUUUGAUUUCAGCCAUCUACAAGGAAGAUAUCUUAUUUUCCAGCUUCUCUCCAUCCUCAGGUGGAAGUUCUGAAUUUUCCAAGUGAAGGAAUUACCCCUGAAUGUUCCUAUUCCCCUAUCCCCAGCUUAGAGAUUCUUUAGACAAUGAACUUUGACAAAAAAGCUCCCUAAAAUUAAGGGUGAUGCAGCUACCCUUGGCUAUUGUGUCUAAUUAGAAGUGCACAGAUAUUUUUUUCUCCCAAUAUGUAAUAGGCAAAUGUGUAUUAAUUCAUUUUUUUUGUUUGUAUUCAGCCUGCUGGGUAGAUUUCCUUUCAUUGUAAUUAGGUUCAGGUUCUCGCAUCAGAUGUUCUACAUAGAGUAAACAUUAAGAUUCCUGAAUUUUCAUUACAUCUCUUAUAUUCAAUGAAUCAUUUAUAUGCAAAUUCACUCAAAUUUUGCAGCAUAAAUCUUCAAUAUUAGUGUUUUUGUAGUCCUUUCUUUGAAUUUUAGUGGCAUAUUUUGAGGGAAUUUCAGACAAGCACUGCCAAAACAGUAAUAGGCUUCAAUAACUGCCUUUUGUAGACUGAAGUGACAGCUUUGAGGUUGGAAAAUUUUAUCUUUUCUUUAAUAUUCAGUAGUUUUACACUGACAAGAAACACAUUUUUGAGUCAAUAGGCUGAAAUCUGAUAAAAAGCAUUUAAAAACCCAAGUAGAUUGAUUGUGUGCAAUCACUGCAGGAGAGUGACUCCAGCAAACAAAAAAGGCUCAAUCUUCCCCUGCCUCACGGUGACAAUUUUGCUUUAUGGGGAAGGAGCUGUGCAGCACAUUAUCUGCAGCACAUAAGCUGCAAAUGCGACCCUUUAGAUUCUUCUUUUAUUUUUUUUUUUCCUGCAUUUAAAAGGCUUGUUUAGAAUUUCAGAGACUUGUUUUCUUUGCCAAUUUCCCCAGCAUCAUUUUUAUGAGUCAGCUCAGACAGUCUUUACUUUUCAC